rnacentral:rRNA from 1 species
CACGUAGGGCGCGAGCGUUGUCCGGAAUUAUUGGGCGUAAAGAGCUCGUAGGCGGCCUGUUGCGUCCGCUGUGAAAGCCCGGGGCUUAACCCCGGGUCGGCAGUGGAUACGGGCAGGCUAGAGGUAGGUAGGGGAGAAUGGAAUUCCCGGUGUAGCGGUGAAAUGCGUAGAGAUCCGGAGGAACACCAGUGGCGAAGGCGACACGCUGGGCCGUACCUGACACUGAUGCGCGACAGCAUGGGGAGCAAACAGG